GACAGAGGGUGCAAACGUUGCUCGGAAUCACUGGGCGUAAAGGGCGUGUAGGCGGGUAGAUAAGUCGGGCGUGAAAUCCCUAGGCUCAACCUAGGAACUGCACUCGAAACUGUUUAUCUUGAGUAUCGGAGAGGAAAGCGGAAUUCCUGGUGUAGAGGUGAAAUUCGUAGAUAUCAGGAGGAACACCAGUGGCGAAGGCGGUUCUCUGGGCAUUACCUGACGCUGAGGAGCGAAAGUGUGGGGAGCGAACAGG
rnacentral:rRNA from 1 species